GAUGAAGAACGUAGCGAAAUGCGAUAAGUAGUGUGAAUUGCAGAAUUCAGUGAAUCAUCGAAUCUUUGAACGCACAUUGCGCCCCUUGGUAUUCCAUGGGGCAUGCCUGUUCGAGCGUCAUUUCAACCAUCAAGCCCUAGGCUUGCGUUGGAGCCCUGCGGCUGCCGCAGGCCCCUAAAAGCAGUGGCGGGCUCGCUAUCACACCGAGUGCAGUAGAUUACUCUUCGCUCAGGGCGUGUGGCGGGUUCCAGCCGUGAAACCCCCUACUUCUCAAGGUUGACCUCGGAUCAGGUAGGAAUACCCGCUGAACUUAAGCAUAUCAAUAAGCGGAGGA
rnacentral:misc_RNA from 1 species